rnacentral:rRNA from 1 species
UACGUAGGGUGCGAGCGUUAAUCGGAAUUACUGGGCGUAAAGCGUGCGCAGGCGGUUUUGUAAGCCAGAUGUGAAAUCCCCGGGCUCAACCUGGGAAUGGCAUUUGGGACUGCAAGGCUGGAGUUUGGCAGAGGAGACUGGAAUUCCCGGUGUAGCAGUGAAAUGCGUAGAUAUCGGGAGGAAUACCGAUGGCGAAGGCAGGUCUCUGGGCUAUAACUGACGCUCAUGCACGAAAGCGUGGGGAGCGAACAGG